rnacentral:rRNA from 1 species
GACGAACGCUGGCGGCGUGCUUAACACAUGCAAGUCGAACGGCAAGGCCCUGCUUUUGUGGGGUGCUCGAGUGGCGAACGGGUGCGUAACACGUGAGUAACCUGCCCUUGACUUUGGGAUAACUUCAGGAAACUGGGGCUAAUACCGGAUAGGAGCUCCUGCUGCAUGGUGGGGGUUGGAAAGUCUCGGCGGUUGGGGAUGGACUCGCGGCUUAUCAGCUUGUUGGUGGGGUAGUGGCUUACCAAGGCUUUGACGGGUAGCCGGCCUGGGAGGGUGACCGGCCACAUUGGGACUGAGAUACGGCCCAGACUCCUACGGGGGGCAGCAGUGGGGAAUAUUGCACAAUGGGCGGAAGCCUGAUGCAGCAACGCCGCGUGCGGGAUGACGGCCUUCGGGUUGUAAACCGCUUUCGCCUGUGACGAAGCGUGAGUGACGGUAAUGGGUAAAGAAGCACCGGCUAACUACGUG